UACGGAGGGUGCAAGCGUUAUCCGGAUUCACUGGGUUUAAAGGGUGUGUAGGCGGGUAUUUAAGUCAGUGGAUGAAAUCUCCGGGCUCAACCCCGGAAAUGCCAUUGAUACUAUUUAUCUUGAAUAUUGUUGAGGUAGGCGGAAUAUAUCAUGUAGCGGUGAAAUGCUUAGAUAUGAUAUAGAACACCGAUUGCGAAGGCAGCUUACUAACAAUUAUUGACGCUGAGGCACGAAAGCGUGGGGAUCAAACAGG
rnacentral:rRNA from 1 species